GUAGAGAUCCAACAUGCAAAUGCUGAGCAGUGUGAAGAACAAUCCAAGGAUGUAAAUAUCCCGUAUAAGAAAGAAGGACUGACAAAUUUGGGCAAGCAGAUUUGUACAGAGGUUAAAACUCCCGCUACAAAAUAUCCAGGUUCAGGUGGUAAGCCCAAAAACAACACAUCAAAUGGCAGUAGAUCACCACAUAUGAAGAAGAACACACCUAAAAACAUCGAUGGAACAGGUUCAUCGACACCAGUGAAAACAGACGUGAAGGUUCACAAAGAUAGUAUUCGUGAAGAACAUAUUGGUGCUGCUAAGAGAAUAUUUGCCAAUGCUCUAGGAUUUGCAAGAGAAGGGAAUCCGAAAUAAGGAACAUAAUGUAUUCUUCUUGAAAUGCUUGAAGACUAGCCCAGCCACACAUAACCAUAGAAGUAAACGAAUGAUCUCGAGCACUUUAUGAUUGUCUUGUGAAACCUGUGCCCAUGAGGAAACUGAACGGUUGUAAUUUUGUACCAGCCCUUUGAUAGCUGCAUCGCAUGAGUACAGCAAGGAACUGUUGGAAUAUAGAAUUGAAAGCUACUGAAUCCAAGUUAUCGACAAGCUUGAGGUUGUAAAGUUUGUCACACUGGCCUAGUUUGUCUGCAUCAUCCUAUGUAGCCAGGGGCGGAGCUA
rnacentral:misc_RNA from 1 species